rnacentral:lncRNA from 1 species
UAUCAGUGGCUGAAAAUAUUCACAUGUGGGAAAGUGCUGUUGCAUCCAGGUUCUGCUUGUAGGCUUUUGCAUAGACAUCUGGUUGGCCACCAUGAGAACAGAAUCCUGGACUAGAUGAGCCACCAGCCUAACCCAGCAGGGUUCUUACGUUCUUAGUAAAAGACACAGAAUGGGCAAUGGGAGCAGGUCCUCAAAGCAUCAUUACAGAGCUAUGUGAAGUAAGCCUCCCCUUCACAACAGGAAGUAUACAUCCUGACAAUCUUGAUGGGGGCAGAUAGAGCAUGAAUGAAAGGGAACCUCAGUGUUGGUGGGGAGAUGAAGAGGAAGUGUCUCACAAAACAGUCCGUGCGGACUUCAGUAUGAAGCAUGGGUACCACAUAUGAAACAGAAAGCAGGUGUUUAUGGCAAUUUGGACAGGAGCAAGGUUGCCCUUCAGAGGGAUGGCACCCCAUUAAGCUUAUAUACGGUACUUACCUACUGCUUCUCCAGCACUAGGGCAAAACUAUCCUUAGGAAGUGGAGGAAAUGGAUGAGCAGUGAUGAUUAUCAAGUGCACUCCUUCAUGCUUUGGAUUUGAUGCAGCACACUUGCCAAAAAUAAGGAUGGUCACCACUGAGAGUUAUGUUCUGUUUAUCAUUACAGAGCCACAUGGUGCCUGUUUUCCAAGUUGUUAAUUUACUUAACUGUUUUGCACAAGGUUAACUAUGAAACCUCUAACCAUGAAUCAGAAAGCUCUAAUCAACCAGCAGGCUGUUGGGUGCUUGGGAAAGAAAGCAUUUUGCAAGCCUUAUGCUUGGCACUUCCCAAGUGCCAAGCAUAGGGCUGGCAAAACCCCUGCACAGCCGUUUCAAGCUGGUUGUAGGGCAUUUGGGAGAUACUGUGCAAGGGACUUUGACAGCUGUCAGUAACCUGAUGUCAAUAUGAUAUCAGGUAAUUAACAGGUAGCUUGUUCUGCCCACCUGCCAAAGUUGGCCUGCAGGAUGGGAAGAGAUAAGAAUCUUACCCCACUGGGCCAAAAAGUUCCCUCCUUCUACUCUAAUGUGACAUUAUACCUCAGGAUGGAAUCAAGAAGCAGAUUUCAACUUUAAGUGGGCAAAGCUCCUGCUGAUUUCACAUCAGUAGGCUUUGUCUGUCUCCUUCCUAUCUUUAAUAGAGAAAUAACAGGAAGACAUUUAUAACAGUAUUUUGUAGUGUCCUUUCAUAACGCACUUUGAAAAUUGAUCAGUCACUUUUCGAAAGGAUUCCAAGUGGCACAGAUCUGCUGGAGGGUAACUUUUUUCUUCCUUUAAUGUUGAAAUAAUAGCUGAGUUUUAGCUUUUAAUUUAAGUUUAAAAGCAACUGUGACACAUUUAGCUGCAUCGCGGACAGAUAUUUCUAAGGCAUAAUAUUCUUCUGACUCUAUUUGUAGGUGAUGGCAACCUAGUACAAAACCUGGAUACUUUUUGAGAAUCAGAUGUUAAUUUCCUGACUUAAGCUGCUUCUUUCUUCAGAACUCAAAAGGGACUGAAUGAAAUAAAACACCUAGAAUGUUCUCAAAAGCAGCUUGGGCACAGGUUACAAAAAAAUACCUGUGUUUUGUAUUUGGCAGCUAUGGGGUUAUGCAAGUGAUGUGGAAUGCAUCUUCACAUCAGUGGAAGAGGACUGUUCUUAUUUGUGCAUAGGAAAUUGGUUUGUACCAGGGUCAGACUAUCUAUCCAGCUCAGUAUUGUCUACCAGGGUAUAUGCAUUAUGUCUUCCCUACCUCAGUUACCAGGUCUUUUUAACUGGAGAUGCCAGGGAUUGAAGCUUUUGCAUGCCCAGCACUGGGGAGCCAGUGUGGUAUAGUGGUUAGAGUGUUGGGCUAGCUGUGUUUCUCUAACUUGGAACUCCAGCAGUUGUUGGACUACAACUCCCAUUAUCCCUGACCACUGGUCCUGCUAGCUAGGGCUGGUGGGAGUUUUGUAGUCCCAACAACAUCUGAAGACCCAAGUUUGAGAAACACUGGGCUAGGGCCUAGCAGACCAGGGUUUAAAUUUCCACUUAGUCACAAAGCUUACCUGGAGUGACCCUGAGCCAGUGGCAGAAUCUUGGCCUAAGCAACAUCACCAGGUUGUUGUGAGGAUUAAAUAGGGACGAGAGAAUGCUGUAUGCCCCCUUGACUUCCUUGGAAAUAAGGCGGGGCAUAUAUGUUUUAAUAC